rnacentral:rRNA from 1 species
GACGAACGCUGGCGGCGUGCCUAAUACAUGCAAGUCGAGCGCAGGAAAUCGACGGAACCCUUCGGGGGGAAGUCGACGGAAUGAGCGGCGGACGGGUGAGUAACACGUAAAGAACCUGCCCUCAGGUCUGGGAUAACCACGAGAAAUCGGGGCUAAUACCGGAUGGGUCAUCGGACCGCAUGGUCCGAGGAUGAAAGGCGCUUCGGCGUCGCCUGGGGAUGGCUUUGCGGUGCAUUAGCUAGUUGGUGGGGUAAUGGCCCACCAAGGCGACGGUGCAUAGCCGACCUGAGAGGGUGAUCGGCCACACUGGGACUGAGACACGGCCCAGACUCCUAGGGGAGGCAGCAGUAGGGAAUCUUCCACAAUGGACGAAAGUCUGAUGGAGCAACGCCGCGUGAACGAUGAAGGCCUUCGGGUCGUAAAGUUCUGUUGUAAGGGAAGAACAAGUGCCGCAGGCAAUGGCGGCACCUUGACGGUACCUUGCGAGAAAGCCACGGCUAACUACGUGCCAGCAGCCGCCGUAA